UACAGAGGUCUCAAGCGUUGUUCGGAUUCAUUGGGCGUAAAGAGCUCGUAGGCGGUCUGUUACGUCCGCUGUGAAAACCCAGGGCUUAACCCUGGGCUUGCAGUGGAUACGGGUAGACUAGAGGCAGGUAGGGGAGAAUGGAAUUCCCGGUGUAGCGGUGAAAUGCGCAGAUAUCGGGAGGAACACCGGUGGCGAAGGCGGUUCUCUGGGCCUGACCUGACGCUGAGGAGCGAAAGCGUGGGGAGCGAACAGG
rnacentral:rRNA from 1 species